rnacentral:rRNA from 1 species
UACGAAGGGGGCUAGCGUUGCUCGGAAUCACUGGGCGUAAAGCGCACGUAGGCGGCUUUUUAAGUCAGGGGUGAAAUCCUGGAGCUCAACUCCAGAACUGCCUUUGAUACUGAGAAGCUUGAGUCCGGGAGAGGUGAGUGGAACUGCGAGUGUAGAGGUGAAAUUCGUAGAUAUUCGCAAGAACACCAGUGGCGAAGGCGGCUCACUGGCCCGGUACUGACGCUGAGGUGCGAAAGCGUGUGGAGCAAACAGG